rnacentral:rRNA from 1 species
CAGUCGCCACGGUAAUACGAAGAGUGCAAGCGUUAAUCGGAAUUACUGGGCGUAAAGCGCGCGUAGGUGGUUUGUUAAGUUGGAUGUGAAAUCCCCGGGCUCAACCUGGGAACUGCAUUCAAAACUGACUGACUAGAGUAUGGUAGAGGGUGGUGGAAUUUCCUGUGUAGCGGUGAAAUGCGUAGAUAUAGGAAGGAACACCAGUGGCGAAGGCGACCACCUGGACUAAUACUGACACUGAGGUGCGAAAGCGUGGGGAGCAAACAGGAUUAGAUACCCCUGUAGUCCCUGUCUCUUAUAC